rnacentral:tRNA from 1 species
UUAAUUUAAGUGGUGCACUUCACACUAAUCUUUGAUAUUAGAAAAAUUAAUUAACUUUAAUAAAUUAAA